rnacentral:siRNA from 1 species
GGAAAAUGAUUGUCGGAACGAUGC